UAAUGAUCUGCAGUGUAAUAUCUGAGACUUUUUAAGAGGGGAAUUCAAAUUUUGAAUUUGAAUUUAAAUUGAUUAUAUAUAUAUAUAUAUAUAUAUAUAUAUAUAUAUAUAUAUAUAUAAAGCUUGUAUAUAUAUAUGUAUUGAUGUUUACGUGGAGACAGAGAGAGGAUGGAUUUAUCGCGGAUCUGUGACCGAAUCAGGAGAAACAAAAUCGUGGUUUUCAUGGUUCGACAAUGCCGAAAGCGCUGAUGCAGUC
rnacentral:lncRNA from 1 species